UACGUAGGGGGCUAGCGUUGUCCGGAAUCAUUGGGCGUAAAGCGCGCGUAGGCGGCCCGGUAAGUCCGCUGUAAAAGUCAAAGGCUCAACCUUUGAAUGUCAGUGGAUACUGCCGGGCUAGAGUCCGGAAGAGGCGAGUGGAACUCCUGGUGUAGCGGUGAAAUGCGCAGAUAUCAGGAGGAACACCGAUUGCGAAGGCAGCUCGCUGGGACGUUACUGACGCUGAGACGCGAAAAGCGUGGGGGAGCAAACAGG
rnacentral:rRNA from 1 species